AACGCUGGCGGCGUGCUUAACACAUGCAAGUCGAACGGUAAGGCCCUUCGGGGUACACGAGUGGCGAACGGGUGAGUAACACGUGGGUAAUCUGCCCUGCACAUCGGGAUAAGCCUGGGAAACUGGGUCUAAUACCGAAUAGGACCACAGAACACAUGUCCUGUGGUGGAAAGCUUUUGCGGUGUGGGAUGGGCCCGCGGCCUAUCAGCUUGUUGGUGGGGUGAUGGCCCACCAAGGCGACGACGGGUAGCCGGCCUGAGAGGGUGUCCGGCCACACUGGGACUGAGAUACGGCCCAGACUCCUACGGGAGGCAGCAGUGGGGAAUAUUGCACAAUGGGCGAAAGCCUGAUGCAGCGACGCCGCGUGGGGGAUGACGGCCUUCGGGUUGUAAACCUCUUUCACCAUCGACGAAGGUUCGGGUUUUCUCGGAUUGACGGUAGGUGGAGAAGAAGCACCGGCCAACUACGUGCCAGCAGCCGCGGUAAUACGUAGGGUGCGAGCGUUGUCCGGAAUUACUGGGCGUAAAGAGCUCGUAGGUGGUUUGUCGCGUUGUUCGUGAAAUCUCACGGCUUAACUGUGAGCGUGCGGGCGAUACGGGCAGACUUGAGUACUGCAGGGGAGACUGGAAUUCCUGGUGUAGCGGUGGAAUGCGCAGAUAUCAGGAGGAACACCGGUGGCGAAGGCGGGUCUCUGGGCAGUAACUGACGCUGAGGAGCGAAAGCGUGGGGAGCGAACAGGAUUAGAUACCCUGGUAGUCCACGCCGUAAACGGUGGGUACUAGGUGUGGGUUUCCUUCCUUGGGAUCCGUGCCGUAGCUAACGCAUUAAGUACCCCGCCUGGGGAGUACGGCCGCAAGGCUAAAACUCAAAGAAAUUGACGGGGGCCCGCACAAGCGGCGGAGCAUGUGGAUUAAUUCGAUGCAACGCGAAGAACCUUACCUGGGUUUGACAUGCACAGGACGCCGGCAGAGAUGUCGGUUCCCUUGUGGCCUGUGUGCAGGUGGUGCAUGGCUGUCGUCAGCUCGUGUCGUGAGAUGUUGGGUUAAGUCCCGCAACGAGCGCAACCCUUGUCUCAUGUUGCCAGCGGGUAAUGCCGGGGACUCGUGAGAGACUGCCGGGGUCAACUCGGAGGAAGGUGGGGAUGACGUCAAGUCAUCAUGCCCCUUAUGUCCAGGGCUUCACACAUGCUACAAUGGCCGGUACAAAGGGCUGCGAUGCCGCGAGGUUAAGCGAAUCCUUUUAAAGCCGGUCUCAGUUCGGAUCGGGGUCUGCAACUCGACCCCGUGAAGUCGGAGUCGCUAGUAAUCGCAGAUCAGCAACGCUGCGGUGAAUACGUUCCCGGGCCUUGUACACACCGCCCGUCACGUCAUGAAAGUCGGUAACACCCGAAGCCAGUGGCCUAACCCUUUGGGAGGGAGCUGUCGAAGGUGGGAUCGGCGAUUGGGA
rnacentral:rRNA from 1 species